ensembl:lncRNA
CACCUCACAAAACACGUCUCAGUCCCAGAGCAAAAACAUUACAUGGACUUCUGCUUUCAUGUACUGUAUGACUACCAGCUGAAAAUGGGACACGGAACAAACAGGAAGCCUGAAAGGAUACCAUUUCAUCAAACAUUAAUUCUUUUUCUAUACAACAGUUUGCUUUAUUGCUGUUCUCCAUCCUUGGCCAGGCAGCUGUUUUUCUUCCUUACUUCCCUAAUAGGGAACUCACCAUCCUGUCCUUUGGCAUCCAUGCGGUAGGCACAUAGGGGUUCUCACCCAGAGCCCUCCCCAGGACCCUACAAUGCUGACUGCAGGUCGUGGGCACCAGAGCACAGGGGAUGCUGGAGUGUCACUGUUGUUUUCUCAGUUACAUCUGUCUGGAAGGAAGAUGAACACAAGUGAGUGUCUGCCUUACAUCGCUGCUUAAAGCGCUUUCCUCUCCGUGUAUCCAACGUGCUGAUUCCUGCUCCAGAAGCUGUUACAACUCAUUUGAACUCACGUUUUUUUCUGCGGUGUAUUUCCUACCCGUGGUAUGCAUGCAGAAAUGAUGACUAAGGAAAUUUUCUAGUGGCAAGAAAGUUUACAGGAUGACUGUGGGACCUCUAGACAAGCAAGGGGAAAUCAACUGAUCAGCUGAACGAAGGACGAUGAAGUAGCUGGAAAGUGAAGUUAUAGUGUUUGGAACAGUGUUUCCAUUGAAAAUGCAUCGCAAAAUUUCUUUAUCCAAGGACACUUGACAAGGGAGCUCAGACUGAAGACUCUGAGGAAUCUAUGAAAAAGACUUAAAUUCAAGAGCAGCAAAGCCACAGGAGUAAGAAUGCUGAGGGCUCUGAAAGAAAUAAAUUACAACAUAAAGGGGAUAAUUGGAAAUAAAGAGGCAUCUCUUUGCAUUGGUGAAGUACAAUACACAAGAGGACUACAAUGCUAAGUUCUUUAAAGAAAGAACAUAAAAUAUGUUAUGGAUAUUAGCAUAUUACACUAAUAUCACUGAAUGAAUAUUGCAGAAUUAUCUCUGUCCAGCACUGAUAACUCUACAUACAGUGGUUGUUUCAGCAUCUGAGAAAAUUCAUGGAGUUAAAGAAUCUACUGAGUUGGAAGAGUUGCCACGACCCAAGUGCAACGCCUUGCAUAUGGAUUUGUUGAACCUCAUGAGGUUCUCCUGGGACCACUGCUUGUGCCUGUCUAGAUCUCUUUGGACGGCACCUUGUUUUUUCCCUGCAAGAUCUGAACGUCAUUUAUGUUCUUUUCCUUCUCAGAAAAAUGUGGAAAACACAAAAUCCCAAAGUAGGUCACCGCUUCUCUGCAGUACUGAUGGAUUUUUCCAAAUAAGAUUUCUAGAUCUGAGUAUAUUUAAGUAUGUGUUUGCCAACUUGUGUAACUAAACAAUAAAAUGCAUCAUAUAGUAAGUGCUUAACAGCACUUGUAGUACAUAUCACAUAUGAAGAAACCGAAGAGUUGAUUUCAGAACCUCUUGAAAAAUUUCUUCUUCUUCUUUUUUUUUUUUUUGUCAUUAAAGGAGAUUUUGAAGAUCAGUGUCCAGAAAACGUCACACACACACACACAAAAGUAUAUUAAUAAUAACAAUAUAAUGAGGAUAGCUUCUCUGUUUGGAUGCAAGAUUUGGUACCACUCGAGAGGGAACGAACUGAGUUAAUGUAAUCAACAUGUGAACCAUUUGAAGAGUUGGACUUAUUUGCCCUGAAUUUACCAUGAAAAAAACGAUAGUUGCAAAAGAUGGCACAUUCACAAAUGGAGAUGAGAAUGAAGUCCCAUUGGCUACUUGGCUGGGUGGACUAAUUCAGGAAAGAAAGAACAAACCUUGUAUGAACACCUACUAAAGCCUGUGGGAGUAGCCAAGAAAAAUGCUUGUGAGAAAGUGAUUUGGCUCACUGCAAAAUCUUCUGCAGCAUUUAUGGAAUAAUGAAGAUGGCAGUGAUGUCAGGAGCCUGAUGGACAGUUUGCACUGGUACUGACAAAAAGCCUGGAGCUGGCUGGUCUGCAGCCUCCUUGGCUCCAGCAGAGGCAGUGGGCAGGCGUAGAUCCUGAGUCCACCCUGGCCACCCAUCCAGGACACAUGCUGGUGCUGCUUUGUAUUUCUUCCUAUGAUAGAAUGGACUGUGCUUACUUUUUAGUAAAUUCACAAACCACUGUAAGUAGCAGAACUAAUAGUGAUGGAAGAGUUUGUGUGACACCUGUGCUCUUAUUAUUAAUGCCAACUGCUAAUGAAAUGCAGAGAAGACAUAAGACCAUUGUACUGUUAGUGCUUAUGAUCCCAUAUGAGCCUCAGAAGCCGCUUUUGCUCCAUUGUUCUUCCAUGCUUUGGCAUAAUUUACUUUUACAGUUGUCAAUAUUAAUGUUUUUCUGGCCUCUACCCUUCUCCACAGACAUUAUCUGAGGUCUGCCAUGACAGCCAAAUGUAUUAGCUACAUGGAUUAUCCUGCCUUCUUGAUUAAAAUCUGAUGAUUGAAAGUCUUUACCCUGAUAGAUCUGGACAGUGUGGUUAUUCUCUCUCUUCCCUAUGGAAGAAAGGAAGCUUGCUGAAUGCACAGCAGCUUUCCAUGCCUUGUCUGACAGCUGAAUACCAGCCAGCUCCUGGGGCUCAGCCACUGCUAAGCUCUGGCUGCUGCUGCUGAAAUGCUUCCCGACCGUCCCAGCACUGCACUGUGCUGAUGUGUGCUCACUGCCAGCGGUUGGCUGCCCAGCAGAACCAGGACAGCUGGUUUUAACAAUUUGUUCAGCAAAAGAAAAUAAAAUAAAUCAACCAUCAUUUUCCACUGGAGGGACAGAAAACCAGCAAUAGCAUCACAGGACACCAAACCCAUCAUUGCUCUGGUGGAAGGGAAAGACAUGUCUAGAAAAUCA